rnacentral:rRNA from 1 species
UACGUAGGGUGCGAGCGUUGUCCGGAAUUAUUGGGCGUAAAGAGCUCGUAGGCGGCCUGUCGCGUCGGAUGUGAAAGCCCGGGGCUUAACCCCGGGUCUGCAUUCGAUACGGGCAGGCUAGAGUGUGGUAGGGGAGAUCGGAAUUCCUGGUGUAGCGGUGAAAUGCGCAGAUAUCAGGAGGAACACCGGUGGCGAAGGCGGUUCUCUGGGCAUGACCUGACGCUGAGGAGCGAAAGUGUGGGGAGCGAACAGG